GGGAAGGGAGAUAUCAUGGCGAAGGGAAGACGGAGACAACUCUGGAGCAGCAGCAGCAGCAUGAGGAGAAAGAAUGGCUCAUGGACGUCAUGGCCAAAGAGAUCCUCACUAAGAAGUCCACUGGCCAGGACCAGGUCAAUACUGACUACUGCACCCAAGAUAAGUAUAUGGAGGUCAGUGGGAAUCUGAGGGAUUUGUAUAACGAUAAAGAUGGAUUAUAAAAGGAGGAGCUUAAUGCUAUUUCAGGACCCAAUGAGUUUGCUGAAUUCUAUAACAGACUCAAGCAAAUAAAGGAAUUCCAUUGGAAGCACCCAAAUGAGAUCUGUAUGCCUAUGUAAAUGGAAUUUGAGGAGCUCCUGAAAGCCCGUGAGAAUCCAAGAGAAGAGGCACAAAACCUGGUGGAGUUUAUAGAUGAAGAGGGAUAUGAUCUCUAUGACUGU
rnacentral:lncRNA from 1 species